CCCUUCUCUGGAGUUUUGUAGUGAGCCCAGGAUGCAGAGAGAUCUUGACAAACUUGGGAGCUGAACAAUCACCAAUUGCAUGAAGUUUAAGAAGAGCAAGUGCUGGAUUCAGUAUUGGAACACGGCAAUCGCAGUUCUAUGUACAAACUGCAGGAUGAAAAGCUGAGCACAGUCUUCCAGAGAAGCAUCUGGAAGUCCUGCCUGAUGGCAAGUUGAAUCUGUGCGAGUAUUGUGCCCUGAUAGCCAGAAGGCCAAACAUAUCCUGGGGUACAUCAGGCCCAGCACUAUCAGCUGGGUAAGGGAAGAGUUUGUCCCACUCUGUUCUGCAUGGCCUCACCUCCAGCACUGUGUGCCAUAACAUAAGGAGGACAUAGUAAUAUUAGAGAAUCCAAAGGAGGGCUGCGAAGAUGGUGAAGAGUCUGGAGGGCAAGAUGUAUGAGGAAUGGCUGAGUCCCCUUGGUUUGUUUAGCCUUCAGAGAAGAGGAGGCUAAGGAGAGGCCUCAUGGCAGCCUACAGCUCCACACAAGGGGAGACAAGGGACAGGCACU